GCUUUCAAAAGAGUGAGGAAACAGUGCGCACUUCACUCUCUGAACCUCUCUACUCUCUCUCCGUCGUACGUCACGUCAGAGACUUGUCGACGUUUCGAAUUCUUCGUAUUUUCUUCGCUUGUCAGGGAAUACGAAAGCCCUAAUUUAUCAUCCAGUGAAAUCGACAGUCUCAGUCUUCGUUCAAGAACAUACAUUUCACAAUCGAAGUUUCGAGAACUAAAAUGGGAGCAGGAAGGAAGAAACAUACACUUUUAUUAAAGGAAAAGUCUCAAAGUUCAUGGACGGUAAAUUGCAGUGCAAGUGCUAGAAACCUAUUGAAGAAAGACCUUUGUGCGGUCAUCUUUGGUUGCAAGCACAAUACAAUCAAAGAGUGUUUUUCUAAACAGCUGCUUGGAUUACCUUCUCCCCAUUUCUCUUAUGUGAAGAACAUCAAUCCCGGGUUACCAUUGUUUUUGUUCAACUAUAGUGAUAGGAGGCUUCAUGGCAUCUUUGAGGCUUCAAGUCAUGGGAAAUUGAAUAUUGAUCCAUAUGGGUGGACUGAUGGUUCAGAUCAGACCCUAUUUGCC